rnacentral:tRNA from 1 species
GGGGCUGUGGUCUAACUUGGUAUGAUGCCGGACUUGGGCUCCGGUGGCUCUGGGUUCGAAUCCCAGCAGCCCCA